UGCCACAUAGCUAUAAAAUACUGUGCUAGAGUUCAGAUGUCAGUUUUGUAACACCACAAACCUUCUGGUACAUGCAUGGUACAUGCAUGCAGGUACCUACUUUGUUAUAAUAUGAUUGCAAACUAUAAUUAUACAUAAGUAAUGAUACUCUUUCGUUCAUUGUUUCAUAAAUCAAGAGUAUGACCACAAAAGUCCCCACAAAAGUCCCCAAUUACGAACUGUGUCGGCAACAUGACUUAGAAGGUGUACAUUCUUAAAAGGUUGCAUAGCUGAUUAGUCCUAUCUUUUUAAUUACACAGCUAUACCUAAAACAUGAACGAGAGAUAAAGUUGAUAUCGAUUACCAAUAUAUAGCAGUUGCAGUGAGGAUGACGAAAAAAUAGUCCAAAGAUCUCUUCCUUGGCGAUCUGAAGGGCGAUCUGAAGCACUGAACAGGCUUGUUGAAAAAGAGAAUUGAACAGAACACGAAGGUCACAAACAGGAGGAAAAAGACUUCAAAAAUCGCCUAACGAUGCUCCGUUGUGGACUGUAUCAAGCAAUUACCAAGAGUGUUGUUGAUGCAGAAACAUCGCAUACGUACCAGUGGUACCAAUACUACUAGUGGUACCAGUAGAAGUGGAGUUGCAAGGAGACUCGAACUUGAUUCAUUAUCAGCAAUUGAUGUAUUGUCUUUUGCUUGCAAUUUAAUUGUUAUUGUUGAUGAA